CCUACGGGUGGCAGCAGUGAGGAAUAUUGGUCAAUGGACGAGAGUCUGAACCAACCAAGUAGCGUGAAGGAUGACUGCCCUAUGGGUUGUAAACUUCUUUUAUAUGGGAAUAAAAUGUUCCACGUGUGGGAUUUUGUAUGUACCAUAUGAAUAAGGAUCGGCUAACUCCGUGCCAGCAGCCGCGGUAAUACGGAGGAUCCGAGCGUUAUCCGGAUUUAUUGGGUUUAAAGGGAGCGUAGGUGGAUUGUUAAGUCAGUUGUGAAAGUUUGCGGCUCAACCGUAAAAUUGCAGUUGAAACUGGCAGUCUUGAGUACAGUAGAGGUGGGCGGAAGUCGUGGUGUAGCGGUGAAAUGCUUAGAUAUCACGAAGAACUCCGAUUGCGAAGGCAGUUCACUGGACUGCAACUGACACUGAGGCUCGAAAGUGUGGGUAUCAAACAGGAUUAGAUACCCUUGUAGUC
rnacentral:rRNA from 1 species